rnacentral:rRNA from 1 species
CAAUAGCGUAUAUUAAAGUUGUUGCAGUUAGAACGCUCGUAGUCGGAUUUCGGGGCGGGCCGACCGGUCUGCCGAUGGGUACGCACUGGUCGGCGCGUCCUUCCUUCCGGAGACCGUUCCUACUCUUAACUGAGCGGGGGCGGGGGACGGAUCGUUUACUUUGAAAAAAUCAGAGUGUUUCAAGCAGGCAGCUCGCUCUUGCAUGGAUUAGCAUGGGAUAAUGAAAUAGGACUUUGGUGCUAUUUUGUUGGUUUCGAACACCGAAGUAAUGAUUAAAAGGGACAGUCAGGGGCACUCGUAUUCCGCCGAGAGAGGUGAAAUUCUCAGACCAGCGGAAGACGAACUACUGCGAAAGCAUUUGCCAGGGAUGUUUUCACUGA